AACGAACGCUGGCGGCAGGCUUAACACAUGCAAGUCGAACGCUCGUAGCAAUACGGGAGUGGCAGACGGGUGAGUAACGCGUGGGAAUCUCCCCAAAGGUACGGAACAACUCAGGGAAACUUGAGCUAAUACCGUAUGUGCCCGGGAGGGCAAAGAUUUAUCGCCUUUGGAUGAGCCCGCGUUGGAUUAGCUAGUUGGUGGGGUAACGGCCUACCAAGGCGACGAUCCAUAGCUGAUCUGAGAGGAUGAUCAGCCACACUGGGACUGAGACACGGCCCAGACUCCUACGGGAGGCAGCAGUGGGGAAUCUUGGACAAUGGGCGAAAGCCUGAUCCAGCCAUGCCGCGUGAGUGAAGAAGGCCUUAGGGUUGUAAAGCUCUUUUUGCCCGGGAAGAUAAUGACGGUACCGGGAGAAUAAGCCCCGGCGAACUUCGUGCCAGCAGCCGCGGUAAUACGAAGGGGGCUAGCGUUGUUCGGAUUUACUGGCGUAAGCGCACGUAGGCGGAUGUU
rnacentral:rRNA from 1 species